CCCUGAGGCGACGGCGGCGUGAGGCGGCGGUGGCUGCGUCUGGCCUCAGCCCCUUCGGCCCCGAGGCGCCCUGGGGACACCCAGAGCCGGCGAAGCCCCUCGCUGCGUCCCUGCUGCAGCCGGGCUCGGGGGCACUGCAGUUCACUGGCACACGGCGUCCUGCGUGGUGGUUUUUGUUUUUCCUCCGCUGCUCGUUAAAUUUGGCAACUGGGUUGCCUCAUCUGCUGGCUUCCACAGGUUUGCAGCCCUCUUUGGCUCGAGGCCAUUAGCGUCCUCCAGUGUGAUGGGUGCCUCCAGGAAAAGGUUGUGUUUUUAUGCUGUAAUUAUCAGACAGAACUGGAGGAGGAGGUGCUCAGAGGCACAAAAGUGUCGUUGCAGGAAGUCUGAGGGAUGGCAACUGCAAGGGGCGGCUGCGUUUUCCCAAAGAUGCUGGAAGACCUUCCCAGGAGAAGAUUUGGCAAACUGAAUUCUCACAAUACGCUCAGGUAUGUCUCAGCAAAGGUAGUGGAAGAGCUAACUAUACCUAAGAACGCUUCUGUGUGCAUUUUUACUCCAAAGACCUGCGGGGAUCUAAAGCCAGGGGAACUUUUCCCUUAACUUCAGCUGGGCUUGGAUGAAAGCCCCGAGAAAUACACAGUAAUGCAACGUUGUGAAAUUAUGAAAUACAUUACAGAACACUCAUAUUUUCUUAGUAUCAAAAGAGAAGCCAUUAUGUAAUACUUGCUACUGGAGGGGAACAGGAAUGUCUGCUUAGUUCCAUGAUUACAGGGUAAGUAGUAGCAAGUUAAUGUUUAGCUAUGUUGUAAUUUUGUUCAAUCCCUCAAGACUGUUAAAAAACAGUGGAAAAAGUCUGCAGUGGUUUUAUUACAUGAUACACAAAUACCAUCCUAUGAUCCAAUUUGCAGCCGUCGAAAAUGAGGAAAUUGGUGCUCUGCAAAACAGGGAGUCUGACGCUCUGUAAGUAAAAGGACAGAGGUCCAGUUUCCCAGUCUGUCCCAUAUGCCAUUGUACU